rnacentral:rRNA from 1 species
AACGAACGCUGGCGGCAGGCCUAACACAUGUAAGUCGAGCGAGGACUUCGGUUCUAGCGGCGGACGGGUGAGUAACGCGUGGGAAUGUGCCCUUCUCUACGGAAUAGCCCUGGGAAACUGGGAGUAAUACCGUAUACGCCCUAUUGGGGAAAGAUUUAUCGGAGAAGGAUCAGCCCGCGUUGGAUUAGGUAGUUGGUGGGGUAAUGGCCUACCAAGCCGACGAUCCAUAGCUGGUUUGAGAGGAUGAUCAGCCACACUGGGACUGAGACACGGCCCAGACUCCUACGGGAGGCAGCAGUGGGGAAUCUUAGACAAUGGGGGCAACCCUGAUCUAGCCAUGCCGCGUGAGUGAUGAAGGCCUUAGGGUUGUAAAGCUCUUUCAGCCGGGAAGAUAAUGACGGUACCAGCAGAAGAAGCCCCGGCUAACUCCGUG